CUAAGACUGGAUAGGAAACAAAAAGGCAUCUUUUUGUUUUUAAAAGACCUUCUUACGAAGGUAUGCUUAAAGAGGGGCUUGCGCCACAUUAGUUAGUUGGUAGAGUAAAAGCCUACCAAGACGAUGAUGUGUAGCUGGACUGAGAGGUUGAACAGCCACAUUGGGACUGAGACACGGCCCAAACUCCUACGGGAGGCAGCAGUAGGGAAUUUUCGGCAAUGGAGGAAACUCUGACCGAGCAACGCCGCGUGAACGAUGAAGUAUUUCGGUAUGUAAAGUUCUUUUAUUGAAGAAGAAAAAGUAGUGGAAAAACUAUAUUGACGUUAUUCAAUGAAUAAGCCCCGGCUAACUAUGUGCCAGCAGCCGCGGUAAGACAUAGGGGGCGAGCGUUAUCCGGAAUUAUUGGGCGUAAAGGGUGCGUAGGCUGUUAGAUAAGUCUAUAAUUUAAUUUCAGUGCUUAACGCUGUCUUGUUAUAGAAACUGUCUUGACUAGAGUGAGAUAGAGGCAAGCGGAAUUCCAUGUGUAGCGGUAAAAUGUGUAAAUAUAUGGAGGAACACCAGAAGCGUAGGCGGCUUGCUGGGUCUUUACUGACGCUGAGGCACGAAAGCGUGGGUAGCAAACAGGAUUAGAUACCCUGGUAGUCCACGCCGUAAACGAUGAGUACUAAGUGUCGGGGUAAAACUCGGUACUGAAGUUAACACAUUAAGUACUCCGCCUGAGUAGUACGUACGCAAGUAUGAAACUUAAAGGAAUUGACGGGACUCCGCACAAGCGGUGGAUCAUGUUGUUUAAUUCGAAGAUACACGAAAAAUCUUACCAGGUCUUGACAUACUCUGCAAAGCUAUAGAAAUAUAGUGGAGGUUAUCAGGGAUACAGGUGGUGCAUGGUUGUCGUCAGUUCGUGUCGUGAGAUGUUAGGUUAAGUCCUAAAACGAACGCAACCCUUGUCGUUAAUUGCCAGCACAUAAUGGUGGGGACUUUAACGAGACUGCCAAUUAAACAUUGGAGGAAGGUGAGGAUUACGUCAAAUCAUCAUGCCCCUUAUGAUCUGGGCUACAAACGUGAUACAAUGGCUGUGACAAAGAGUAGCUGAAACGCGAGUUUUUAGCCAAUCUCAAAAAAGCAGUCUCAGUUCGGAUUGAAGUCUGUAACUCGACUUCAUGAAGUUGGAAUCGCUAGUAAUCGCGAAUCAGCAUGUCGCGGUGAAUACGUUCUCGGGGUUUGUACACACCGCCCGUCAAACCACGAAAGUUAGCAAUGCCCGAAAGCAGUAGCUUAACUUCGCAAGAAGAGGGAACUGUCUAAGGUAGGGUUGAUGAUUGGGGU
rnacentral:rRNA from 1 species